rnacentral:rRNA from 1 species
AGCAGCCGCGGUAAUUCCAGCUCCAAUAGCGUAUAUUAAAGUUGUUGCAGUUAAAAAGCUCGUAGUUGAAUUUCGGGAUCAAAGGAUCGGUCAUGCCUUGGUAUGUACUGGUUUUAUUGGUUCUCACCUUCUAAAGAACCAUAAUGUCAUUCAUUUGAUGUUGUGGGGAAUCAGGACUGUUACUUUGAAAAAUUAGAGUGUUUAAAGCAGGCAUAAGCUUGAAUACAUUAGCAUGGAAUAAUGAAAUAGGACGUUUGAUCCUAUUUUGUUGGUUUCUAGGAUCGACGUAAUGAUUAAUAGGGAUAGUUGGGGGCAUUAGUAUUCAAUUGUCAGAGGUGAAAUUCUUGGAUUUAUUGAAGACUAACUACUGCGAAAGCAUUUGCCAAGGAUGUUUUCAUUAAUCAAGAACGAAGGUUAGGGGAUCGAAGACGAUCAGAUACCGUCGUAGUCUUAACCAUAAACUAUGCCGACUAGGGAUCGGAUGAUGUUAAUUUUUAAUGACUCAUUCGGCGUCCG